GGAGCAGGGGAAGGCCACGCUCAUGUGUCUGGCCAACAAGGGCUUCCCCUCAGACUGGAGUCUGUCCUGGAAGGUGGACGGCAGCAGCAGCAGCAGCAGCAGCAGCAGCAGCUGGGAGGAGAGCAGGAGCCCCGGGGUGCUGGAGAAGGACGGCCGCUACAGCUGGAGCAGCACCCUGAGGCUCUCUGCAGACCAGUGGAGGAAGGUGGGCUCUGUGACCUGUGAGGCCACCCAGGGCUCCCAGACUCCACUCUCUCAGACACUGAGGAGAGACCAGUGUUCCCAGUCCUGACCUGACUCACUUUGACUCUGCUGCUGGUUUUAAUCUGCUACUGCUCCAUUUAUCUCUUUCUUGUCUCACUCACUCUCUCAUUACAUGUUUCACUGAUAAAGUUU